rnacentral:rRNA from 1 species
CCGAGUCUUAACUGGGCGUUAAGUUGCAGGGUAUAGACCCGAAACCCGGUGAUCUAGCCAUGGGCAGGUUGAAGGUUGGGUAACACUAACUGGAGGACCGAACCGACUAAUGUUGAAAAAUUAGCGGAUGACUUGUGGCUGGGGGUGAAAGGCCAAUCAAACCGGGAGAUAGCUGGUUCUCCCCGAAAGCUAUUUAGGUAGCGCCUCGUGAAUUCAUCUCCGGGGGUAGAGCACUGUUUCGGCAAGGGGGUCAUCCCGACUUACCAACCCGAUGCAAACUGCGAAUACCGGAGAAUGUUAUCACGGGAGACACACGGCGGGUGCUAACGUCCGUCGUGAAGAGGGAAACAACCCAGACCGCCAGCUAAGGUCCCAAAGUCAUGGUUAAGUGGGAAACGAUGUGGGAAGGCCCAGACAGCCAGGAUGUUGGCUUAGAAGCAGCCAUCAUUUAAAGAAAGCGUAAUAGCUCACUGGUCGAGUCGGCCUGCGCGGAAGAUGUAACGGGGCUAAACCAUGCACCGAAGCUGCGGCAGCGACACUAUGUGUUGUUGGGUAGGGGAGCGUUCUGUAAGCCUGUGAAGGUGGCCUGUGAGGGUUGCUGGAGGUAUCAGAAGUGCGAAUGCUGACAUAAGUAACGAUAAAGCGGGUGAAAAGCCCGCUCGCCGGAAGACCAAGGGUUCCUGUCCAACGUUAAUCGGGGCAGGGUGAGUCGACCCCUAAGGCGAGGCCGAAAGGCGUAGUCGAUGGGAAACAGGUUAAUAUUCCUGUACUUGGUGUUACUGCGAAGGGGGGACGGAGAAGGCUAUGUUGGCCGGGCGACGGUUGUCCCGGUUUAAGCGUGUAGGCUGGUUUUCCAGGCAAAUCCGGAAAACCAAGGCUGAGGCGUGAUGACGAGGCACUACGGUGCUGAAGCGACAAAUGCCCUGCUUCCAGGAAAAGCCUCUAAGCAUCAGGUAACAUCAAAUCGUACCCCAAACCGACACAGGUGGUCAGGUAGAGAAUACCAAGGCGCUUGAGAGAACUCGGGUGAAGGAACUAGGCAAAAUGGUGCCGUAACUUCGGGAGAAGGCACGCUGAUAUGUAGGUGAAGCGACUUGCUCGUGGAGCUGAAAUCAGUCGAAGAUACCAGCUGGCUGCAACUGUUUAUUAAAAACACAGCACUGUGCAAACACGAAAGUGGACGUAUACGGUGUGACGCCUGCCCGGUGCCGGAAGGUUAAUUGAUGGGGUUAGCGGUAACGCGAAGCUCUUGAUCGAAGCCCCGGUAAACGGCGGCCGUAACUAUAACGGUCCUAAGGUAGCGAAAUUCCUUGUCGGGUAAGUUCCGACCUGCACGAAUGGCGUAAUGAUGGCCAGGCUGUCUCCACCCGAGACUCAGUGAAAUUGAACUCGCUGUGAAGAUGCAGUGUACCCGCGGCAAGACGGAAAGACCCCGUGAACCUUUACUAUAGCUUGACACUGAACAUUGAGCCUUGAUGUGUAGGAUAGGUGGGAGGCUUUGAAGUGUGGACGCCAGUCUGCAUGGAGCCGACCUUGAAAUACCACCCUUUAAUGUUUGAUGUUCUAACGUUGGCCCCUAAUCGGGGUUGCGGACAGUGUCUGGUGGGUAGUUUGACUGGGGCGGUCUCCUCCUAAAGAGUAACGGAGGAGCACGAAGGUUGGCUAAUCCUGGUCGGACAUCAGGAGGUUAGUGCAAUGGCAUAAGCCAGCUUGACUGCGAGCGUGACGGCGCGAGCAGGUGCGAAAGCAGGUCAUAGUGAUCCGGUGGUUCUGAAUGGAAGGGCCAUCGCUCAACGGAUAAAAGGUACUCCGGGGAUAACAGGCUGAUACCGCCCAAGAGUUCAUAUCGACGGCGGUGUUUGGCACCUCGAUGUCGGCUCAUCACAUCCUGGGGCUGAAGUAGGUCCCAAGGGUAUGGCUGUUCGCCAUUUAAAGUGGUACGCGAGCUGGGUUUAGAACGUCGUGAGACAGUUCGGUCCCUAUCUGCCGUGGGCGCUGGAGAACUGAGGGGGGCUGCUCCUAGUACGAGAGGACCGGAGUGGACGCAUCACUGGUGUUCGGGUUGUCAUGCCAAUGGCACUGCCCGGUAGCUAAAUGCGGAAGAGAUAAGUGCUGAAAGCAUCUAAGCACGAAACUUGCCCCGAGAUGAGUUCUCCCUGAGACUUAGAGUCUCCUGAAGGAACGUUGAAGACGACGACGUUGAUAGGCCGGGUGUGUAAGCGCAGCGAUGCGUUGAGCUAACCGGUACUAAUGAACCGUGAGGCUUAACCUUACAACGCCGAAG